GCAUGGCAAAUGGGGAAAGGCAAGUGAAAGCUUCUGCCCUGUCCCUCCAGCAGCCGUAGGACCAUAGAAACACAGCCUCUUUCUCCUCAACAAAAUGUUCUCCUUACUUUUGCUAUGAAACAAAUUACCCCAAAAACCUAGUGGUUUAAAACAAUCAUUUGAUUAUGCUCAAGGAUUCUGUAGGUCAAGAAGGCAUGAGCCACUGAAUCUGGCCUGUUGUGGUCAUACAGUCUACCACACCCGAGGUGGACCCAGGCACACCAUUUACUGCCAGGAGGGCAGGCCUGAGAGGGGCCCAGCUGGGUGCAAUGGAGGUAAGAUGGGAAA
rnacentral:lncRNA from 1 species